GAGGCGAUCGAACCCAAUCCCUAUCCCUCGAGACGAUAAAAGACGACGACGACGAAAUCAUCCCAGGAGAAGAGAUCAAUCACGACAUUUUGGAAUCGAAAUCUACUGGUUUCAGGAAGUGGGGAGAGAGACAGAGAUAGAGAUGAGAGAGAGAGGAGGAGAUAAGCAACAUAUCUUAUUGUUCCUGAUUAAGCGACGGUGCUUGAAUUAAAAGGUUUUUAGAUGGGAUCGAUGUGGUGGGGGGAGGAAGCGGCGAAGGGUGCUAAAAUAGCAGUGUGGUGGGAUAUGAAGGAGUGUCCGAUUCCGGAGGGUUACGAUGCUGGUCGGAUCCGACCGAGUUUAGAAGCGGCGUUCAAGGAACGAGGCUACUCUGGUCCAGUCUCCUCCAUCACUGCAUACGGGGACCAAACACAAACCCCUGUUCACAUCCUGCAUGGGCUCUUAUCCACUGGAGUGUCUGUAGCACACACCAGCUCCGAAAGCACGAACUACAUCUUGUAUCGGGAUAUAGUGGAAUGGCGAGGUCAGAAUCCACCCCCUGCUACAAUGAUGAUCAUAUCCAAUCAGGUGGUAGGUGACUUGUCUUGGGAUCUGGCCCGGCUACAACAACGGUCGCAAUACAACCUGUUUCUAGCUUAUUCGAAGGCGCCUUGCGUACUCUCAGUCCUGUCAACUUCUUCAAGGUGGUUAUGGGAAAAAUUACUAGGGGAUAAUAAUAAUAAUAAUAAUAAUAAUAAUAAUAAUAAUAAUAAUAAUAGAAUUGAGACCAGAAGCGUUCAGUAUAAAUUAUCUGCCAUGAUACUUUGUUGCAAAUCGUGCAAUUUCGAUUGCCAAAGCCCUGAGAAAUUCAGGAAGCAUCUCUCGAGUUAUAAGCAUGCACGGCAAGAGUCUGUAUACCCUACGUACAAAGAAGUUAACCGUGUUACGGAGACGUGGGGAAGGAACUACGCUGCAGCGCCUGAAUAUGCGACAGCUAAAAUACUGGUGUGGUGGAACAUGUUUGACUGUCCUAUCCCUGAGGGAUAUGAUGCUCGUCGGGUCCGUCCGAGUUUAGAAGAGGCAUUUAAGAAACUAGGCUACUCUGGUCCCGUCUCUAUCACUGCCUAUGGCGACUUAAACCACACCCCUGAGCACCUCCUCCGAGGGCUCUCUUCCACUGGAGUCAGUCUUGCACAUACCAUUCUCGAUGUCACGUACAAGCGCAUGUAUUCAGAUUUGCUGGAUGGGCAAAAGUCUAAUCCUACUCCGACUAAUAUUAUGGUCAUAUCUGAUACAGAUACACAUCAGGCCUUCUCAACUCCCCUUGUCCGCCUAGUACAAAAGCAGAAGCACAACCUUUUUCUGGCUUAUUCAUCUAGGCCUUACAAAAUGUUUGUCCUGCUCCCUUCUGCCGAGUGGCUCUGGCAUAGCUUACUUGAAGUUUCAGAGAAAAGAAAACACGUUCUUCAGAAAUGCAGUAGUGAAAGUGAAAGUGAUAGGGGUGGUGAAUCAAGCGCAAUGUUGUAUUGCAAAGUGUGCUGUGGUGGCCAAGGUCCUGAUUACAAAAGCCUUGACAAUUUAAGGACGCAUCUCUCUAGUGAAGAACAUGCACAUGAAUAUUACUUCGUUUGUUCAGUUAAAAAUGAAGAAUAGGAAUCUAUCUCUCUUAGCCCAGUACGAUCGAGAGCAUCGACAUCAAUGGCGACAGGUAAAAAAAUCUCAAAACAUCAAACAUAUCAGGAAAGCAUUCCGGACGGGUUUUCUUCUUCUUCUUGAUAAUCAUUUACGUCGACGUAGAGCUCGAAAAUCUCAAUCCUGCAGACGUCGUGGCUCUCGACGUAGAGCUCAAAAAUCUCCAACCGUGUGGUGAAAUCGUUACCAGGUAGAAGCUCUUAUUCUUCGUUUCUAGUCUAUGUUUCAAUUUCAAGCAGUAUUUAUUUUUCAUUUCGUUUUGCUUUGUUUAAAACAAUCUUAUUAUUCACUCAUGUAAUGUUAUUAGUAAUUUUAAAUCAAACACUGUUUUUCAAAUUUACUGAAUGUCAUUAUAUUAACUUACUGUUUAGUAGUA